GGGGUUCACAGCGCUGAGCUCUGGCCCACUGCAGCCCCUACCCCAACCCGGGCCCCCACUCUAGACCAAGCAUCAGAAGAAUACAAAUCCCCCGCCCUCUGGAGCCUUGGGGCUAAGACCCGCCCCCCCCCCCACGAGCGCCCAGUACUCUGGGCUUUUUCCUUGUCCCAUUGGUCAUCCCUGUUUCCUUCCCCAGGCCCCCCAGCUCUCAGCGAGGCUCAGUCUCUUGCACACCCACUGCUCACCUCGUCGCGUCCCAACACGGAAGACUCAGUUGCUUUGUUCCAGAAAGAACACACACAGAAAAUGGGGCUGAUCAGAUGGCCCCUCACUGCCUCUUUUCUCUGCCAUGUCACCAGCAGCCCAGGAAUAGUAGAGUGGAAAUUUGGAGUUGCUAGAAUUGGAUCAGAAUGUAAGCUCUUUGAGAACAGGUACUGUUUUAUUUUUGUCUUUAUCCCUAGCACCUAGGAUAGUGCCUGACAUAUAGUAGGCAUUUAAUAAAAGCUUGUUGAUUGAAC
rnacentral:lncRNA from 1 species